GACGAACGCUGGCGGCGUGCCUAAUACAUGCAGGUAGAACGCACAGUUUAUGCCGUAGCUUGCUACACCAUAGACUGUGAGUUGCGAACGGGUGAGUAACGCGUAGGUAACCUGCCUGGUAGCGGGGGAUAACUAUUGGAAACGAUAGCUAAUACCGCAUAAUAUUAAUUAUUGCAUGAUAAUUAAUUGAAAGGUGCAAUUGCACCACUACCAGAUGGACCUGCGUUGUAUUAGCUAGUAGGUGAGGUAACGGCUCACCUAGGCGACGAUACAUAGCCGACCUGAGAGGGUGAUCGGCCACACUGGGACUGAGACACGGCCCAGACUCCUACGGGAGGCAGCAGUAGGGAAUCUUCGGCAAUGGACGAAAGUCUGACCGAGCAACGCCGCGUGAGUGAAGAAGGUUUUCGGAUCGUAAAGCUCUGUUGUAAGAGAAGAACGGGUGUGAGAGUGGAAAGUUCACACUGUGACGGUAUCUUACCAGAAAGGGACGGCUAACUACGUG
rnacentral:rRNA from 1 species